rnacentral:rRNA from 1 species
UAGGAUUCCCUUAGUAGCUGCGAGCGAACAGGGAAAAGCCCAGCACCGAAUCCCGCGGCCGAUAACGGACGCCGGGAAAUGUGGUGUUCGGGAGGAUCCAGUUAUCCCGAAGUCACGCGGCGCGUCCAAGUCCUUCUUGAACGGGGCCACAGCCCAUAGAGGGUGCCAGGCCCGUAGUGACCGCCGCUGAUUGCGGGAGGAUCUCUCCUCAGAGUCGGGUUGCUUGAGAGUGCAGCCCUAAGUGGGUGGUAAACUCCAUCUAAGGCUAAAUACGACCGCGAGACCGAUAGCGAACAAGUACCGUGAGGGAAAGUUGAAAAGCACUUUGAAGAGAGAGUUCAAGAGUACGUGAAACCGUUUAGGGGUAAACCUGAGAAACCCGAAAGGUCGAAGGGAGAAAUUCAUUCGCGUUUCGACGUAGGCGUAAGACGGUCGAGUGACGGGAAACGUUCGCGCGUUUUCCGCGCCUUCCGUUUUUCGAUCCGACAUCGAACGCGUGCACUUUUCUUCCGGUAGGACGUCGCGAUCCGUUGGGCGUCGGUCUACGGCCCGCGAUGGAGCCCGUACGGACGGUUCGCGCCGUACCGUUCGGACCCGCGGUGUCCCGGCCGACUCGCUCGACGGUAUACGAAUGGCCCAGGGCCGCUUUCUAUUAAGCGUUCGACUCGCGGCAAGCGCGCCCGACGCGUCGACUAUCGGACCUAGUGCCGGUACCGACCUCUGGCGACUGUUGGCCGCGAAGUUCUCGAACCGACCCUCUGUGGCCGAUCUGCGACGCUAUAGCUUUGGGUACUUUCAGGACCCGUCUUGAAACACGGACCAAGGAGUCUAGCAUGUGCGCGAGUCAUUGGGAAUCGCUAAACCUAAAGGCGCAAUGAAAGUAAAGAUCCGCCUCGCGCGGAUCGAGGGAGGAUGGGCGGUUCGAACUUAAAAGCGGCCGCCUCGCACUCCCGGGGCGUCUCGUUCUCAUCGCGAGAAGAGGCGCACCAAGAGCGUACACGCUGGGACCCGAAAGAUGGUGAACUAUGCCUGGUCAGGACGAAGUCAGGGGAAACCCUGAUGGAGGUCCGUAGCGAUUCUGACGUGCAAAUCGAUCGUCGGAACUGGGUAUAGGGGCGAAAGACUAAUCGAACCAUCUAGUAGCUGGUUCCCUCCGAAGUUUCCCUCAGGAUAGCUGGCGCUCGUCGCGCACGAGUUUCAUCCGGUAAAGCGAAUGAUUAGAGGCAUUGGGGUCGAAACGACCUCAACCUAUUCUCAAACUUUAAAUGGGUGAGAUCUCCGGCUUGCUCGAACUCAUGAAGCCGCGAGACACGAAUCAGAGUGCCAAGUGGGCCAUUUUUG